GGGACUAAAAAAGAGGCUUUGACCACACUCCAAGGUGCCACCAGUUUUUCAGUAACGCGCUUAAUGAAAGGGAUGAUUAUCAGGGUCAGAGCGUUUGCAUUAUGAACACGUGAGUUAGGAGGAGAAACUGCGAUGGCUCCUGUGGGUCCACCCCACUUCAACUCCUCAACACAGAAAGCCAGAUCCAUUAGCUCUUGUAGGCCACCAGAGACAAUGAUUCAUGGGGCGUCAUGGCGACCUGCAUUUAGGCAGGAUCUCUGCAGCAGCAACAAAGCUCUCCACGUCAUCAAUGAUGUCAUCCUGGUUUCUCUGUGUAGCCCUGGCUGUCCUGGAACUCACUUUGUAGACCAGGCUGGCCUCGAACAGAAAUCCGCCUGCCUCUGCCUCCUAAGUGCUGGGAUUAAAGGUGUGCGCCACCACGCCCGGCUAGGCUCACUUUUUAAGAACCUGAUUUAGACACUGCAGCCUUAGUUUUAAAUAUCUGCUCUACACAUCUCCCUGGAAAUCAGGACUUGAAGGUGUAACUACCAGAUCACCGUCUUCUCAUUCACCGUAAAGCAUAGAGCUCCAGGACUGACCACGUCUAUCCACACUAAGGCGGCUGGAGAGUAACCCAGGGACACAGUGCUUGCACCGUGUGACGCCCUAAGUCUCGGGUUCCAUUUCAAAUACAACAAGUCAGCUGUAAUGUGUGUCAUGCUGGGAAACUGCCCGGUGCUGCUUGAAUCA
rnacentral:lncRNA from 1 species